rnacentral:lncRNA from 1 species
CUCCCGAUUUGAAAUUCUACAGGUUACCAGUACACACCUCUUCUCAGUCGAGUCUCAAAAUAGCAGCCUGAAUUAUCUAUACCUCUAAAAAUGAAAUGAAAUCAAGACAUGCCUCUGCUCAAAAUCCUUCAGUGUUUCUUCUGCUCAGUCAGGAUAAAGGACAAAUUUCUGACAAUGGCUUCACGGCCUUCCUUUGCUCUCACCCGAUUCCUUCUUCAUCCCCAUCUUCUAGUCUCUUCUGCUACUCCAAUCACACUGGCUUCCUUCUCUUCACAGAAACAUCAG